rnacentral:rRNA from 1 species
UACGUAGGGGGCAAGCGUUGUCCGGAAUCAUUGGGCGUAAAGAGCGUGUAGGCGGUCCGGUAAGUCCGCUGUGAAAGUCGGGGGCUCAACCCUCGAAUGCCGGUAGAUACUGUCGGGCUAGAGUGCGGAAGAGGCGAGUGGAAUUCCUGGUGUAGCGGUGAAAUGCGCAGAUAUCAGGAGGAACACCUAUUGCGAAGGCAGCUCGCUGGGACGUUACUGACGCUGAGACGCGAAAGCGUGGGGAGCAAACAGG